rnacentral:tRNA from 1 species
GCACUGGUGAUUCAGUGUUAGAAUUCUUGACUUCCAUGCUGGAGACCUGAGUUAAAUUCCCGGCAAAUGCG